GAGGAGGUGGUGGCGCGAAGGGCGGCGGCGGAGGUGGCGGCGCGAAGGGCGGCGGAGGGAGCUCGGGAAAGAGCAACGGCGGCCGGUCCGUCGGCGGAGGGAGCCCGAGCACGAGCACGAGCAGGAGCGGCGGCGGGUCCGUCGGUGGAGGGAGCUCAUCAGACUGGAGAAGCUACGGCGGGGACGCCGGAAUGGGUGCCAACAGGGGAUACGAUGAAUCCGACGGGCGCGAACCGCUUGGCCGUGGAGCCUGGAGGGUCUCCGGCGCCGCCGCCGGCGCGCUCGUUGCGGCAGCUGCGGUCGUUUGGUGGUGAUCAAAUGGUAGCUGCCGUGUGAAUUCGUAAAUUGCAUGGUUCAUGCAUGUGUGUACGUAUCACGCUUUUGUGAUUGGUAAGUUGUAAAUACAGUGUACACUGGACGAUGGGUGCGCUAGUAACAAGUUGUAUAAAAUGUAACGGAAAGAAUAAGUUGUGCAGGAAAGAAAAAUAAAAGGGAUCAAAGAACUUCUGUAGCCAUGCUCUUGCUGAAUCAGCUGCAGUGGUACACCAACUUUUC
rnacentral:lncRNA from 1 species